UUUAUAGUUUAACUCUGAAGCAAAGAUGAUAACAGCCCCUUCCCAAAACUGAACUCCACCUUGUUUGGGGACUAAAACUGCCUUUGUAAAGUUAAUAAAAGGGCACAAGGUAACAACUGAGACAGAGGCUUGGACUCUGCUAGGAUACAGACCUUGCAAUCUGGUAGAUCAAUGGAUGCCAACCAGACCAGUGACCCAUGGCCCCCACCCAGGAACUGACUCUGCAGCAGGCAAGAAGAAGCUGUCGGGCUGUAACAGAGAUGCCUCCCUGAGCUGAGAUGUGAAGGAUGAAGAAGGACCACCUAGGGAAACAUAUUCAAGGAAGGAGAAACAGCCAGCACAAAGGCUCCAAUGUGGAAAUAAAGGUGGUACGUUGAAAACCAAAAGAAGGCCAUUCAGUUGGGGCAGAGUCAACAAGUAGGAGAACAGAAGGUCACAAAGUCUAUGUGACCACAGAUCCCCAGCUCUCCAAAGAGGACAUCUUCCAAAAAGCACCCAUGACAUUUCCACAGCACCCAGAAACCAGAACCACCUUGUUAUUAAGGAAGGUGUGAAAGCCACUCUGGGCUUGUUUCUCCAUGGCUGAAAUGAAUGGGUUGGAACC